CUCUAACGUGUGAGAUGGGAGGUAGGGGUAAAGAGGUCCUCAGUGGCCAGUCUCUAUCGUGUGUGAGGGAGGAGUAAACUGGUCCUCAGUGGCCAGUCUCUAUCGUGUGGGAGGGAGGAGUAAACUGGUCCUCAGGGGCCAGUCUCUAUCGUGUGAGAUGGGAGGGAGGGGUAAAGUAGUCCUCAGUAGCCAGUCUCUAUCGUGUGGGAGGGAGGGGUAAAGUAGUCCUCAGUGGCCAGUCUCUAUCGUGUGUGAGGGAGGAGUAAACUGGUCCUCAGUGGCCAGUCUCUAUCGUGUGGGAGGGAGGAGUAAACUGGUCCUCAGGGGCCAGUCUCUAUCGUGUGAGAUGGGAGGGAGGGGUAAAGUAGUCCUCAGUAGCCAGUCUCUAUCGUGUGGGAGGGAGGGGUAAAGUAGUCCUCAGGGGCCAGUCUCUAUCGUGUGGGAGGGAGGGGUAAAGUAGUCCUCAGUGGCCAGUCUCUAUUGUGUGGGAGGGAGGGGUAAAGAGGUCCUCAGUGGCCAGUCUCUAUCGUGUGGGAGGGAGGGGUAAAGUAGUCCUCAGUGGCCGGUGUCUAUCGUGUGGGAGGGAGGGGUAUAGUGGUCCUCAGUGGCCAGUCUCUAUCGUGUGAGAUGGGAGGGAAGGGUAAAGUGGUCCUCAGUGGCCAGUCUCUAACGUGUGAGAUGGGAGGUAGGGGUAAAGAG
ensembl:lncRNA